rnacentral:lncRNA from 1 species
AUGCCUGCCCUCCCUGCAGCCGGGCUCUACCGCAGCCCGGGUUCACCCCGGGCGGUGACAGCAGCGGUGGAAUCGAUCGGAGCACGGAAGGCGAUUACCCUCCAAACGAGCGUGGUCAGAACCCCAGCAGCCCCGCCGUGCCUGGAAGCACAUGGACGCAGCCGAGCCUCCCAAACCACAAGGCCACCUGCUCUUUGUUCGUGCUUUUUAAAGCAGGCGUUGUUACGCGGUUUCUCUCCCCCAAAACACGUAUCCCCGCGCUCCUACCUGCCCGCCCCUCUCCGGGCGGAGGCCACACCAACACCCCUCUCCUUCGGAGAAGCCCCGCAGCUGCAGCCCCCGGCCGAGGGAGAGGGACCAGCCUCCCCCGCAGCGCUCACCGGGGGAGGCCGCCCCCGCUCCGGGCGCCGCCCGCCUGCACUCACCGUCCGUCGCCAUGGCCGCAGCGGCGCGGCCCGGCUUCCCGAUGGCGAUGGCUGGGGACGCGGAGCUCGGCCGGGCCGCCGGCAGCGAGGAGGGUACGCGCUGACCGACCCGCACGGCACCUCCCCGCCGCCCGCCUCGCGGCGGGGGGAGCCCCCGGUUCUCGCGGAGGGGGUCCCGGCCCCGCCGCCUUCUCGCCGCCCGCCCCCGGGCACGGAGCCGCACUGGCUGCGGGCGGUGCGGCUUUCUGGCGGGAGCGGGGCUCUGUACCAGACUGCGCCCCAUAACCACUGCCCGCAGCCCCCGGGUGCGCUACAGAGACGGCACAGGGUGAAAAUUGCCAUAAAAACCCAGCUGGGGAGGAUAAUCGGCUUCACCCGCUCUUCACAGCUCUCUCCCAAAAUGCUGCGCGACUUCCAGCGCCUCGAGGAGCUCCAGCACCUUCCCGAUAUGGCAGUAGGAUACCGAACACAGGUGAAGACUCAGCACAGAGCCAUGUGUCGAGAACUGAGCUGGAGCCGCAGCAGGCUGAGGUGCAGCCCACAGCUGAGCUUGGGGCUAGCUGAUCGAAGAGGGCUUUUCCAACAGUAG